UACGUAGGGUGCAAGCGUUGUCCGGAAUUAUUGGGCGUAAAGAGCUCGUAGGCGGUCUGUCGCGUCGAAUGUGAAAACCCGGGGCUCAACCCCGGGCCUGCAUUCGAUACGGGCAGACUAGAGUUCGGUAGGGGAGUCUGGAAUUCCUGGUGUAGCGGUGAAAUGCGCAGAUAUCAGGAGGAACACCGGUGGCGAAGGCGGGACUCUGGGCCGAUACUGACGCUGAGGAGCGAAAGCGUGGGGAGUGAACAGG
rnacentral:rRNA from 1 species